GCCGCCCGAAGUGGGCUGGAUAAGCACUCGUAAUGCGUAAGUCGCGGGUUCGAUACCCGCGGGCGACUCCA
rnacentral:tRNA from 1 species